rnacentral:tRNA from 1 species
UUCCAUGUACCUCAGUUGGUAAAGAAUCUGCCUGCAAUGCAGGAGACCCAGGUUCAGUCCCUGGGUUGGGAA